rnacentral:rRNA from 1 species
UACGUAGGAGGCAAGCGUUGUCCGGAAUUACUGGGCGUAAAGCGCGUGUAGGUGGUGGGACAAGUCUGCUGUGAAAGCGCCUGGCUUAACCGGGCGAGGUCGGCGGAAACUGUCCGACUCGAGGACGGUAGAGGGGGGUGGAAUUCCGGGUGUAGUGGUGAAAUGCGUAGAGAUCCGGAGGAACACCAGUGGCGAAGGCGACACGCUGGGCCGUACCUGACACUGAUGCGCGACAGCAUGGGGAGCAAACAGG